CACUGAGGUGGAGCCUUUGGGACUUUUGCAGCGGGGAGGAGCCUGGCCCCUCCUCUUCCUGUGUGGACCCUCGGAUUCAAGCUGCUGGCGGGAAGUGCGCUAGGCGGAGCUGUGGUCUAGCGAGAGUCCCUGUUUCCCCCUUUUCUUCCUUUUCACAGGAUCUCACCCCAUAAAACCCUGUCUUACCAUUCAAAUUGUCUGUAAGCCUGAAUUUUCGCGGCCCUAAGACAAAGAACCUUGUCUUUCACUGAAUUUAAAAAAAGUCCUGCAACAUUUUUGGUGCACAACGUGGGGGUUCGAGAAGCGAUUUUCUGGUCAGAUUAAGCCAAGUAAAAUGAACUUAACUCAAAGCCUUGAAGACAGAAAAACUUAUAAAAGUACAGCCUGCAGUAUUCUCAUUCAGAAAGAACAACAGGGCAAAAGACCUGAAGAAGGAGCAUACUGCGGUUUUCAGAAUACCAUCGAGGAGGAGAGAGGUCUACUGUUAUGAAUUGCCACAACUUGGAGGCUUAGAACAACACAAAUUAGUACUCUCACAGUCCUGAAGGCUACAGCUCUGCAAUCAAGAUAUCAGCAAGGCCAUCAUUCCACUAAGGCUCUAAGGAAGAAUCCAUUUUUGCCUCUUCCUGCUUCUGGUAACCCCAAGCAUUCCUUGACUUAUGGCAGCAUAAUUCCCAUUCUGUUUCUGUCUUCACAUGGUUUUCUUUUCUGUGUCCACGUAUGUUCUUUUCUGCCUCUUAUAAGGACACUGUCACUGGAUUUAAGGUCCACUCUGAUUCACCAUGAUUUCAUCUUAAUUUCUACCUCAGUUACAUUUACAAAGAUUCUAUGUCAAAAGAAGGUCACAUUCUAGGGCACCUGGUAGACUUAAAUUCUGGAGGGAAACAAUUCAACCCACUGUGGUUGGCUUUAGAUUAUUUAAUCUGAUAAUCUGUUUCUAUUAAUUACAGUAUUUUGUUCAUUUAUAUUUAUGGAAGUUACAAAUAGAGUUAUAUUUAAACCUAAAUAACAUGAGCUGCUUUUAUUUGUCAUAUACAGGCAUAGCUUGAAGAUAUUUUGGGCUCAG
rnacentral:lncRNA from 1 species